GAGUACCAGUUUUGUCUGAGAACACAAACUUGAUUUGCCCUAAAUCUUCAUUUAUAUUCAAAGCCCGACACUGAAAUGCUGAAUUUGAGGCCUCAUCAUACAUGAGUGUAUCUCGAAUCAUGAAGUAAGCCUGACCAACCCGAACAAGCUCCAUAGAGAUGUACAAAGAAAUAGGGAUCAUGAUCUGGAACACAAUAACUGACAUAAGGAAUGUGAAAAAUAUCUCCAGUCCCCAUCCAUAAUAAUUGUAGUCAUCCUUAUCUUCAUCAUUGAAGUUCUUUUUCCUAUAAAAGGGAAUGGUAUUCAAAUCAU
rnacentral:misc_RNA from 1 species